GGCGGCGUGCCUAAUACAUGCAAGUCGAGCGAAUGGAUUAAGAGCUUGCUCUUAUGAAGUUAGCGGCGGACGGGUGAGUAACACGUGGGUAACCUACCCAUAAGACUGGGAUAACUCCGGGAAACCGGGGCUAAUACCGGAUAAUAUUUUGAACUGCAUAGUUCGAAAUUGAAAGGCGGCUUCGGCUGUCACUUAUGGAUGGACCCGCGUCGCAUUAGCUAGUUGGUGAGGUAACGGCUCACCAAGGCGACGAUGCGUAGCCGACCUGAGAGGGUGAUCGGCCACACUGGGACUGAGACACGGCCCAGACUCCUACGGGAGGCAGCAGUAGGGAAUCUUCCGCAAUGGAC
rnacentral:rRNA from 2 species